AAAUGGUGGUUAGACACUGUUUUAAUGUUUGUGGACUGAGACGCUCCGAAAUUCAGAUGUGUUUUGUUUUCACAAGCAAGCUUGUCAAACAUUAACGUUUCUCAAAUGUACACUUGCGUCUUAUUGUAAAAUGGUGAAAUAACGACGUGAAGAACAUAACCAGCUGAGCACGGCCGAAUUAGGUUGAUGUCUUCGAUUCAAGACAUGUAACGAAUUAUUAGAAAUAAGAGGAAUACCGGGAAACGAUACUGCGUAUGAAAACUUUCUGCUCCGCUCCCAAAAUGUUUGUUUAUCUUCGUUUUAGUAAUAUAUAAUUUUCGUUUGUUUCUCGUAAAUGGUUAAAAAAUCAAAAUUCUAUUACGAUCAUUUUAGUCCUAAUAUUGUUGUUGGUACUGAUCAAACCAGUCAAUAACUGAAGAGAUUAUUAACAACGAUCUCUCAACGGAUUUUAAUGUGGUAGCGGAGGGCGGGGAAAAAAAAAAAAAAAAACAGAAAAAAAAAGUCCAACAGAGACCGCCUUAUUUUCAAAUACGUUCUUGUAAUCAAAUGUAACUUUUGCUUUGCGUCGAGACCUGGAGCUGUGUUGGAGAAUCGAAGAAACUAGUUCUUAAUCGGGCGGCGGGACUUCUUCAACUUUAUAGAGGUGAAGAAGAGGAAGAUGGGUUGGAGUCACCCAGACAUAUCGUUGGGGGAUCUGAUGGAGCUGAUAAAAGGGUUCGUAGAUAUACUUAUUCUGGCAUCUGGGUAUCAAUUGUCUGGUCGUCUUGCUCACUGGGAUACCCAGAACAUCAAGAAAGCUUUCCAGUGGGCUAUUUUCUUUGAAAAUGUUUUAAGGACUUUGAGCUGCUUAGAUGAUUACCAGGAUUCUGUGAAAGAGCUAGAUGAAGCUCUAUCUAAAAUGACAUCUGCUCCUUCGUUUCCUCAGGGCUUUGCACAUCUAUCAUCUGCUACUCUUUCUACGGCAAGAGCUUUUGUAUUAGCACAUUUCAUCCAUACUUUACCACUGAGGGAUGCACAUCUAAGAGUAUUUCUGAUGGCAGCUAUUGAAAUGGAUAUCGAUGAAUUGUCAGGAGCAGAAAAUGAUUGCUUACAUACGUAUCUGAACAAGUUGAAGCAGCAGAAUGCAUUUAUUAACUCAGUACCAACUAGGAGGCAUAAUGACUCAGCUAUAAUGUCUGAAAACCUCAAUCUGGUUUCAGAGAUUGGAAAAUGCAUUGGUGAUAGUUUUACAAAAUAUGCUGUUCAAGAGCUCCUGAAAAGGUGGUUUCCAGUGUCGUGCGUCUUAGCAAUUGAGAAAGGCUUAGAUAUUGUUUCCGACAAAAUUAAAUAUAGCAGCUGGAAUAACUUUGAUGAUAACUUGUUUAAGGAGCAACUGAGGAAUGAAGAUGCACCAGUGAUUGUAGAGCAGUUGGUGGGUUUUUUGACAUGGAACCGCUGGAAAUCAAAGAGUCUUACUUAUUUUCUUGACAAGAGAACUGUUCGAAUGGUCUCAGGUGCCAGCAUGAUAUUUUCUGCUCCUAAGGUUCAGUGGAUACAAGUUUUUGAGAGGUUGAAUAUAUCAACAGAAAGCAGUGAUGAUGAUUUCUGUGAAACAGUUGAGCUCUUGUUGCUUGGUUGUAUUACAAGCAGAUGGACUUAUCUAAUUGAACAUUUGAUGUCCAUUUCUUAUAAUUCCAAGACUAUUUCAGAGCAAUAUCAAGAAGUAUUCAACCUUCUUCCUGUGAGAUAUCAGGCUUUUGAUUCCGGAGAGGAAACAGUCAGUUUAAAGGAAAUUGAUAUUCUUGAGUAUUUGACUGGACUCUUGGAGGGUCAACUGCAUCAGUUGUGGAAAAUAUCCCCAGCCCUUGCAGCAAUUGCUAUUCCAUCAUGGUCGCCCUUGUUUAGAUUGUAUCUGAGUGAAAUGGAGAGUCAGUUAAGAGGAUGCUCUUCAACACUGAGAUGCUGCAGUUGUAGUGAAGGCAUGGAGCACAAUGACUGAUUUGUUCCCAGGUGAACUUGCUGAGAGAAUUUGGUGUCUCUACAUUUUUCAUGUAUGUGGAUCUUGUCAAACACUUUGUGCUGGUAGUUCUUGACUGUUUUUCAGGGGCUGAUCUGAUAUAAAUCAAGACCUUGAGAAAAAUUAAGUCUUAGUUGUGUUUUCAAGAGCUCAAAAGGAAAAACAAAAAAGCAGUUUCCCAGAAGGCAGAAUAAAGCAGAUGAAAAAUUUAUUUACUUUCCAGCUAACGUUUUGAUUCUGAAUCAGAUUGAUGGGUCUUGUGUAUACAGUACAAAUUUUGUUGAUGGGUCUUUCUGUCCUCGGCAAGCAGGGCUAUCGAAUGAUUCUUUAAUUAAAACAUUUGUAAGGAAGAACAAAGAAAGAUGAAAGAAGAAAAAUAUUGAUUUUUCUUAAAAAAAAAAAAGAAGGAAAAUUAAAGUAUUACUAAAUGUUUUUAAAAGUUUGUAAAAUUGUUAUGUUUGGUUAUUGAGAAUACAUAAAUUCAUUAGUUUC